UACGUAGGGUGCAAGCGUUAAUCGGAAUUACUGGGCGUAAAGCGUGCGCAGGCGGUUUUGUAAAUCUGUCGUGAAAGCCCCGGGCUCAACCUGGGAAUGGCGAUGGAUACUGGCUCGCUAGAGUGCGGUAGAGGAGAGUGGAAUUCCCGGUGUAGCAGUGAAAUGCGUAGAGAUCGGGAGGAACAUCAGUUGCGAAGGCGGCUCUCUGGACCAGCACUGACACUGAGGCACGAAAGCGUGGGGAGCAAACAGG
rnacentral:rRNA from 1 species